UAGUAUUCUCCUUCCUCUGGAACUUGGGUGCCUUCUGCGACUUGGGCUAGAGCAAAAGAAUGUUAACCUUUUGGCCUCACUCGAUCGACCUCAACAUCAUGGCCGCCGUGGCCUGUGAACUCCCGUUUGGUUUGAAGAGGCAACAUAGCGUUGAGUACUGGAUCUGAAAUGGCUGACGCAUUUUUUGUGCCCUUCUUUUCAUCUUUGAGUUUUAAUACUCGUGGCCAUAACAUGAGUACUGAUCGGGUUGAUCGUCAAUUGCAGUAGUGUAGCAACAGGAACUAGAGCUGGGCUUUUUGGAACGCAAAUUUCAGCUCAUGGUUUACCGCCUCCCCUAGCCUUAAUUAGUCGUUCGUAAUCUUAUGGAGCGGGUAAGAAAGGAUAUUGUUUCUUUAUUUCUUCCUUCUUAGUUGCAGUUUUCCACAAUGUACUGUGUUGUAUUUUUUCUUAACUAAAUUUGUAGCAUCUUCUUCCAACUUCAAGGCCAGGUUUGCUUAUUUAUGCACAGCACUGUAAUGUCUUGAAUGCACCAUCGGCAUGAUUUAUAAUACGAGAGUGAUUCUGAGUACAUAUGUCGGGCUCCUGAAACUGAAGCAUGUAAUAGCCAAAGAUAGAAUACCAAAUUUUAUUUUCAUUCAAUAGUCAAUACUUUAAUAUUUUACCCACCAUACUAAUACAAUAAUUUCCCAAUAUUUUUCCAUUCAACUAUGCCAGUUUGGAUGUACAAAUUC